rnacentral:lncRNA from 12 species
UGAGACAGGUGAGGGACAGGUAGAUGGGGGACAGGUGAAACGGGUGAGAGAUGGGGGACAGGUGGGACAGGUGAGACAGGUGAAGGACAGGUGGGACAGGUGAGGGACAGGUAGAUGGGGGACAGGUGAAACGGGUGAGAGAUGGGGGACAGGUGAGGGACAGGUGAGGGACAGGUGAGGGAUGGGGGACAGGUGAGACAGGUGAGACAGGUGAGGGACAGGUGAGGGACAGGUGAGACAAGUGAGAGAUGGGGGACACCUGAGGGACAGGUGAGACAGGUAAGAGAUGGGGGACAGGUGAGACAGGUGAAGGACAGGUGG